GAUGAACGCUGGCGGCGUGCUUAACACAUGCAAGUCGAACGGAAAGGCCCUGCUUUUGUGGGGUGCUCGAGUGGCGAACGGGUGAGUAACACGUGAGUAACCUGCCCUUGACUUUGGGAUAACUUUAGGAAACUGGGGCUAAUACCGGAUAGGAGCUCCUGCUGCAUGGUGGGGGUUGGAAAGUUUCGGCGGUUGGGGAUGGACUCGCGGCUUAUCAGCUUGUUGGUGGGGUAGUGGCUUACCAAGGCUUUGACGGGUAGCCGGCCUGAGAGGGUGACCGGCCACAUUGGGACUGAGAUACGGCCCAGACUCCUACGGGAGGCAGAAGUGGGGAAUAUUGCACAAUGGGCGGAAGCCUGAUGCAGCAACGCCGCGUGAGGGAUGACGGCCUUAGGGUUGUAAACCGCUUUCGCCAGUGACGAAGCGUAAGUGACGGUAAUGGGUAAAGAAGCACCGGCUAACUACGUG
rnacentral:rRNA from 1 species